GACGAACGCUGGCGGCGUGCUUAACACAUGCAAGUCGAACGGAAAGGCCCUGCUUCUGUGGGGUGCUCGAGUGGCGAACGGGUGAGUAACACGUGAGUAACCUGCCCUUGACUUUGGGAUAACUUCAGGAAACUGGGGCUAAUACCGGAUAGGAGCUCCUGCUGCAUGGUGGGGGUUGGAAAGUUUCGGCGGUUGGGGAUGGACUCGCGGCUUAUCACCUUGUUGGUGGGGUAGUGGCUUACCAAGGCUUUGGCGGGUAGCCGGCCUGAGAGGGUGACCGGCCACAUUGGGACUGAGAUACGGCCCAGACUCCUACGGGAGGCAGCAGUGGGGAAUAUUGCACAAUGGGCGGAAGCCUGAUGCAGCAACGCCGCGUGCGGGAUGACGGCCUUCGGGUUGUAAACCGCUUUCGCCUGUGACGAAGCGUGAGUGACGGUAAUGGGUAAAGAAGCACCGGCUAACUACGUG
rnacentral:rRNA from 1 species